rnacentral:rRNA from 1 species
GUGGCGGACGGGUGAGUAACGCGUGAGGAACCUGCCUUUCAGAGGGGGACAACAGUUGGAAACGACUGCUAAUACCGCAUAACAUAUAGAUGUCGCAUGGCAUUUAUAUCAAAGAUUUAUCGCUGAAAGAUGGCCUCGCGUCUGAUUAGCUAGUUGGUGAGGUAACGGCCCACCAAGGCGACGAUCAGUAGCCGGACUGAGAGGUUGAACGGCCACAUUGGGACUGAGAUACGGCCCAGACUCCUACGGGAGGCAGCAGUGGGGAAUAUUGGGCAAUGGGCGCAAGCCUGACCCAGCAACGCCGCGUGAAGGAAGAAGGCUUUCGGGUUGUAAACUUCUUUUGUCAGGGACGAGUAGAAGACGGUACCUGACGAAUAAGCCACGGCUAACUACGUGCCAGCAGCCGCGGUAAUACGUAGGUGGCAAGCGUUGUCCGGAUUUACUGGGUGUAAAGGGCGUGUAGCCGGGAGGGCAAGUCAGAUGUGAAAUCCACGGGCUCA